CGCAAGCCUAUGGUCAGGUUGUUACGCACACAUGGCCACAACGCGCCCUUACGUAUUCGCGAUGUUAGGAAAAUAACGCCUGCAUGUUUACGUUUGAGACUAAAGACUGAAAGACAGAUUUCUUUUUAAAUAAUUACACACGUGACUAUUUUAUAUGAAUGUAAGUGGUUUAUAAAUAAAUAUCAAUGUAUAAAAAACUAAUUGUUUAUGUGUAGUGAUGAGUGGACUGUUGUAAACAAACACAUUUUGUUCUGUGUUGUGUUUGAAACACAUACGUUGUGUGUAUGUUGUGUUCGUUUUAUGAAACUGUGGUGUCCUGUUUAGGCUCGUCAUCUAAUCAAGGUAUCACGAUGAGAACACACGCAAUUUUCGUAUGGGAUAGCGAAGACAUUUGACAAACAGAUAUUGAUAUUCUCAAGGAUAUUACGCAAUAGUGGAGAUGUAUGACAUUGAAGAACCAGAGACAUAACUUCAUGUUUUAUCAGGUAAUAAAAACGUCGAGUAAUUU
rnacentral:misc_RNA from 1 species